CCUGACGCUACAGGUGUUGCAGGUGUGUUUUCUGUGUCACAUCUGCAAAAGUAGGUGGUAGAGAGUCUAGAAUUUAUGUCUAUGCUCAAUGUUCUGACCUGUGAAAAUCUGAAAUUCCCUGAAAAAAAAGU